AUGGGUAGGCUGGGCCAGAGAUACGACUCCGAAUGGGAGGAAGUAAAGCUUAUCAAUGGCUAUGCCAUGCUUCUGGCAUACACGUUGUUCGCAAUCAGGGGCAUAGGCUUCCUGGUGUUUACAUGGAGCACGGUGGUUCUUCUCGGUGGCUUCGUCUCUAUGAUAGACAAGGUGGAUUUUGGGCGUCUCACUCUGAUUACCCUCAUACAGAUACUCUGGAUUGAGCCCUCUUUCAUUGAAAGGUUCGACCCUUAUGGUGCUCAGUCCUCAAGCUUGACGAUGAAGAAUCUAUUGACGAGCAACUCGCAGCUGGCUGAUGCAGUGGUGAAUCGAGUUGUUGCAGUCGUUCUUCUAGUUCUAUCGCUGGUUCAAAGUACGGUGUUGAUCAUGUGUAUCGCCUCUGCGCCGUUCUUCCUGUUCCUUGGGAUGCUCAUCACCGCUUGGAUUUCGGUACGCGGUCUAAUGGACCAUGACCAUUACGGCGACACGGAUGAGGGUAGAGUAAACAUGGAUCCGGUGCAUAACGUCUUGUACACCAUGUGUGUGGCCCAAAGUGCCUUGUGGCUGUGUAGAAUCAUGUUGCUGUUUUUGGAGGAGAGGGUAGUGAAACAAGUGAGCCAAGCAUACGGCUUCCAAGAUGGUGACCGUGCAGUUUUAGGCUACCUGGGCGAAGUCAGCAAGGGGUGCUUCAAGAACAUAUCAUCUGCCAGAGAGAGGAACCUCAUCACAUAUGCUGUAGAACUCAUGGAGUCCAAGUCGCCUCAUAGCUAUCUUUCCGGGGCACUUAUACUGGACAGACUACUCACCCGGCAGCAUUCUCCUAUUUUGAUCAAACAAGAAGAAGAAAAGCAACAGCAACAGUUAGAUUUAGAGGAAAAGACUGGAGCUCCUUUGGUUCAAAAGGAUACGAAGAAGAAAGAGGGGAAUGAGGAGAGUAACAAGAAGAGUGUGGAGAUCAUUGUGCAGCAGCGCAGGAUGAUAAAACGGUUGAUUGGGUCUGCAUCUUCCAUAGGCAUUCUCCACAGACUGCUUCAGACACUGGAUUCGCAAUGCUCAUCCGACAGAAAGGUGCGGGAGGCCGCCGCGAGGAUUGUGGAGCACGUUGCUGGCAGGAUUCAUUUGGAGAAGUUCCCGCAAGGGAUCCAAUGCGUAUCUUCACUCAUCAACACCUUUGAAGAAUACCGCCGAUUACAGCCAUAUCGGUCAUUGCCGUCGUCAUCAAACAGAAAAGAAGCCACUGUGAUGACUCUGGCACCAUCGCCAAACACAAAAAAUUGUCAAGAACAGGAACAAGGCCGCAGCAGCAUCAAUACUUUGUCAUUUGAGUCAAACCCAGAGUACUUAGAGUCAGACUCAGAGUCAGACUCAGACAGUGACAUGGAUAAACUAUCAUUCUCUGAGCUGGUGGCUAUGGGGCACAACAAUUUGAAGUUCAGUAUCAUGUAUUGCAGGCAAAAAAUUAGUAAGAGCAGCAACACUGCUACUGCUAUUUCUUCUUCAUCAAAGUCAAAGUCAGACAACGGCAUCGAUCGGCCAUCGUCAUCUAAGGCCAACAGGAGCACAACCAAUCAGUUCCAUGGCUACAAAGAGCUGUUGUUGACUGGCCUGCACAUCCUUUGGAAACUUGCAGGCAGUGAGGACAACUGCACAGUCAUAAGCAACACCAAACAUCUUGUCUCCAAGAUUAUGGCACCUGUUAUCUACGACAUAGUGCACCACGCAGGUCAUAGUGCAUGGUCCACUCAAGUAGUAGAGAGAUCACUUGGGGUGAUACUUAGACUAAUUGUGAAUACCAAGGGAGACACUGGGGCAGACCUCCGUCAACAAAUCUCAAGCGACAAAGGAUCAAUCGGCACUAUGAAAAAAAUUGUUGUCUGCGAAGAAUGCAAAGGCGAGGAACUGCAGAUGAAGGCCAUGCAGAUCCUGACGCAUCUAUGCAUUGAUGAAACUGCAAACAGAGGUAAUCUAACUAAGGUGCUCGUGAGAAUCUUCAUUAAUGGUGAUAGCAGCAACACCUCCAUCAGAAAGACUGCAGGCGAAACACUGGUGUUGCUGUUUCUCAGCAGCAAAAGCGUCGCCACCCUCCUCCCCAAGGAGGAACAUAAUGAGUUUAUUGGUGGUCUUGCUAAAAUACUUUUACAAGUUGGAGACAACGACACAUGCAGAAAAAAUGCUGCAGAAAUUCUGGAGCAUCUAUGUAUUCAGUUUGCUGAGAAUGGUGAAUAUCUCAGCACACUCAAGAACACCAUUACAUGUGUGAUGCCAGAGGUACUCAGAGAAAUAUGUCAUGGAUCAACAGGAGAAGAAGAAAAGCCUGAGUAUGCCAGAUCAGAUACUGACAUCGAAAGCCAAAGCGAAACCAAGAAGAAAAGGAACAAGAAGAAGAAUGCUUCAUCCUCUCCAGGGCAAAACGAACAGCACAAGUUGUACGUCGCCCUGCUAUCCCUCUGUGUGACGGCGUGUGAGAAAUUACACCUUGAUCUGAAUGCAAUUUCGCUGGGACAAGCUAUGGAUCCAGGAGAAUGUGUUGCAUUCAGCCUUGCAACAAAGAUGGUACAGCUAAAUAGGGACCUCAUCACCGCCGACAGCCUGACAGCAAUGAAGCUUACCACUAGGAUGGUGAUAGCAGCAAUGAAGAAACUCGAGGGCAACGGCACCACUGUGGACCGAGCUAAUCUGGAGAGCCUCAUUGACUCCCUGUCUAGUGUUUCAGAGACCAUGUUGGAUCUGGAGGGAUGCAUAGUUUUCGCGAUGACGAAACCUGCCACUGUCGACACCCUCCAUUCCCUCGUGAAACAAGCACGGCAACUUCAUGCCAAAAUACAGGACCAAGACUUGGAAAUAGUGGCAGCUAGCUAG
rnacentral:rRNA from 1 species